rnacentral:rRNA from 1 species
CAAUAGCGUAUAUUUAAGUUGUUGCAGUUAAAAAGCUCGUAGUUGGAUUUCGGAUGGGACUUGCCGGUCCGUCGUUUCGAUGUGCACUGGCCAGUCCUAUCUUGUUGUCGGGGACUAGCUCCUGGGCUUCACUGUCCGGGACUAGGAGCUGACGAGGUUACUUUGAGUAAAUUAGAGUGUUCAAAGCAAGCCUACGCUCUGAAUACAUUAGCAUGGAAUAACACGAUAGGACUCUGGCUUAUCUUGUUGGUCUGUGAGACCGGAGUAAUGAUUAAGAGGGACAGUCGGGGGCAUUCGUAUUUCAUUGUCAGAGGUGAAAUUCUUGGAUUUAUGAAAGACGAACUUCUGCGAAAGCAUUUGUCAAGGAUGUUUUCAUUAA